GUUUUGGAUUGUAGCUUUAUCCUGAGGAGUUCAUUUGGGUAUUUGAUAAUUAAAUACUGAGAAAGAAGUGAGACUACUAGCACACGAAAAGGAAAUCACGGAAAUGGUGCAUGUGUAGUCUCAUUGAUUUCUGAAGUGCUUUCACUUAGUGGGUGACAUUCCUGACAGUUUGAUUACUUGGAAUUUGAGGUGAAAGUGCCCAGGCAAAGAGAUCAAGUCAAGAUAGAGAAAAAUGAGGAGCACGUUAGAAUAAGAAAAUUGGACUUUUUGUGAAGAACACAAUUGCUUGUUCAUAUGUUGCUGAAAUGCAAAGAGACCUCCAGGAUGCACCAAAGAAAGGGACUAAGUAGAGAGCAGGAAGAUAGAUGAAGCUUAAAUUAUCAUCAGCAGCACUGUUUGUCAAGUAGGGUAUGCACGUCUGAGGGAGGCUGCGUGUGGCUGCUGCUGCUGACAGAGCCCAGGCAGCGUGCUCUGUGCGUGCACCCCUUCCGGAGGGACCCUGUGAAAGGGAAGUCCUCAGGCCUGGAGGAGGACAAGACUGAUGCUAGCCUCUUGGCACCGAAGUCCACCAGGACUGAAGCACAUUGACCUGCUGUGGCUGUGCAGAAAAGCUGAACUACUCAGACCCUCACUGCUCCAUGGGGCUGCUUGUGUGGUUCGUUCCAGGGGCUCACAAGAAGCAAAACCUCUCACCAGUCAUGGGAAAGGGACAUCAAUUUUGCAGUGUUUGUUCUGAGAGCUGUUUUACCAAAGAUGUGUCACUGAAAAAUGGUACUGUGGACAGCAUAGCCUGCUGAACCUGCUCCGAGUGAGAAAUAGCUUUCCUCUAUCAGCACCAUCUCAUCUAUGUUGUAUGUGAAUCAGCAGCACCUAAAAGACAAGAAGCAGUGUGCUUUGGUGAAUAAAAUGAUUUUUCUUGCUUAUUUUGGUAGAGGG
rnacentral:lncRNA from 1 species